rnacentral:rRNA from 1 species
UGGGGAAUUUUGGACAAUGGGCGAAAGCCUGAUCCAGCAAUGCCGCGUGUGUGAAGAAGGCCUUCGGGUUGUAAAGCACUUUUGUCCGGAAAGAAAUCCUUGGCUCUAAUACAGUCGGGGGAUGACGGUACCGGAAGAAUAAGCACCGGCUAACUACGUGCCAGCAGCCGCGGUAAUACGUAGGGUGCAAGCGUUAAUCGGAAUUACUGGGCGUAAAGCGUGCGCAGGCGGUUUGCUAAGACCGAUGUGAAAUCCCCGGGCUCAACCUGGGAACUGCAUUGGUGACUGGCAGGCUAGAGUAUGGCAGAGGGGGGUAGAAUUCCACGUGUAGCAGUGAAAUGCGUAGAGAUGUGGAGGAAUACCGAUGGCGAAGGCAGCCCCCUGGGCCAAUACUGACGCUCAUGCACGAAAGCGUGGGGAGCAAACAGGAUUAGAUACCCUGGUAGUCCACGCCCUAAAACGAUGUCAACUAGUUGUUGGGGAUUCAUUUCCUUAGUAACGUAGCUAACGCGUGAAGUUGACCGCCUGGGGAGUACGGUCGCAAGAUUAAAACUCAAAUGAAUUGACGGGGUCAUAGCUGUUU